AAAUUGAAGAGUUUGAUCAUGGCUCAGAUUGAACGCUGGCGGCAGGCCUAACACAUGCAAGUCGAACGGUAACAGGAAGAAGCUUGCUUCUUUGCUGACGAGUGGCGGACGGGUGAGUAAUGUCUGGGAAACUGCCUGAUGGAGGGGGAUAACUACUGGAAACGGUAGCUAAUACCGCAUAACGUCGCAAGACCAAAGAGGGGGACCUUCGGGCCUCUUGCCAUCGGAUGUGCCCAGAUGGGAUUAGCUAGUAGGUGGGGUAACGGCUCACCUAGGCGACGAUCCCUAGCUGGUCUGAGAGGAUGACCAGCCACACUGGAACUGAGACACGGUCCAGACUCCUACGGGAGGCAGCAGUGGGGAAUAUUGCACAAUGGGCGCAAGCCUGAUGCAGCC
rnacentral:rRNA from 1 species